rnacentral:lncRNA from 1 species
AGGAGUUCAGUGUUGCAGUCUAAUUUUGUCCUGUAUUCUGAAUCCAUUCCUCGGUUGAAAGUAUUCUGUGUGUAUCAAGAGAUAUGUGUUCAUGUGGAGAUGUCCUUUUCUUUGUGUAGACACGUGUAUAUAUCUUAGUAAAUUCUUAUUUUCAUUUAAUUUCUACAAUUUUAAGAACUUUAUGAUAAUUAAAUAUGUGUAAAGGCUUUCUGAAAGAUUAUUUACUAUAUAUAUAUACACUAUAUUUUCAGCUGGCUGGUCAAAUUAUUUUUUAAAUUUUGGUUUUAACCAUUUGAGCAGAAUUGGAUACAAAUUUUGCUUAGAGCUCAGUUAAAAUGCUCUUGCAGCUAACAGCUUUUGGGGUGGGGGGAGAUUGUUAAGCAGUAGCAAAACACAUUGUCCACUAACACGGCCUUUGGCCUCUCAGAGCUGUUAAAACAUGUGAGCAACUAAAUCGUCUUGAAGACAUGUGGAGACUUUUAUAUCUCCAGUUGUCUGACUGUGUUUUUGAAUAUUUCCUUUAUUUCCAAAGUGUUCAUUUUUCUCUUACUGAGCAAAGGUAGACCGAGUUGUUGAACCAAUGCCUGGCAUAUUGUGAUUCUUCACAGUUGCUGACUGUUGUGUUAGGACUCUCCAAAUGCACAGCGUCUGUAUUCUGUACUGUGUGUUCUGAGCAGCUGGCAGGAAGUGUAGGAAACUAGGUUUCUGUCUGACAAUGUUACUGUACUCAAUGGAAACCUUCUAAAAGGAUGUGGUGGCGUAAAGUUAUUUGUGUUAGGAAUAAAGUCUACAGUUGACGUUGACUAUCCUAAGUUUAUCAUGUUGAGAGGAACCCAUGUGAUUAGAACCUACCCAGAAGCCAGACACAGUGGAGUAUGUACCGCAUCUCACACACAUUUGGGUCUGUUGUUCAUUCAAAAUUGUGCUUGUAAAAAUGUGUAAAAUUUCUUGAGUUUUAUAAUUUCUAUGUAUUUUUUCUUGCUGGUAAAUAGCUUUUAAAUUUUUUAAUAUAAAAGAAACCAUGUUUAUAUUUUGUUAGCAAUGAUGACUUUGUUAUAUGGCAAUUUGUGAAUUAUUGACACAUCUUUAUUUAGAUUUGUCAUGCAUGAAGGCCUGCGAUAUUCAGUACAGUGAGACAUACUUCGUUCCUAGUCAUCUUCCGACAGACUGUGGUGCAGAGGGUUACUCUCAGUAACCCUCUGAACUGUGGAAUGGACAUAAAUGAAUGGUAAUUGGAGUGUUAAUAAAGCUGGUAUUUAUUCCC